rnacentral:rRNA from 1 species
CGUAGACCCGAAACCAGGUGAUCUACCCUUGGUCAGGUUGAAGUUCAGGUAACACUGAAUGGAGGACCGAACCGACUUACGUUGAAAAGUGAGCGGAUGAACUGAGGGUAGCGGAGAAAUUCCAAUCGAACCUGGAGAUAGCUGGUUCUCUCCGAAAUAGCUUUAGGGCUAGCCUCAAGUGAUGAUUAUUGGAGGUAGAGCACUGUUUGGACGAGGGGCCCCUCGCGGGUUACCGAAUUCAGACAAACUCCGAAUGCCAAUUAAUUUAACUUGGGAGUCAGAACAUGGGUGAUAAGGUCCGUGUUCGAAAGGGAAACAGCCCAGACCACCAGCUAAGGUCCCAAAAUAUAUGUUAAGUGGAAAAGGAUGU